AGAACAUCUGGAGUUGUCUGAAGUGUUGCGCUGUGUGCCAGUGAUCCGUCCCCACUCUUGGCACCUGGCGAAGCUGUCAGAGGCACCCUGCACUACGGGCACUGGUGACCCCUCAGAUGGCCCCCCGGCUAUGCAGCUCCACUUCACACCUGUCAGUGUACCGUGGCACUCCGGAGGUGACAAUAGCGAGCUGUCCAUGCAGUGGGGCCAUAUCUCCAGGCACUACAGCACAGAGA